rnacentral:precursor_RNA from 15 species
ACCUGCAGCUCUGCACUGGGGGAGAGGGAGAGGACGGAAGGGAGAAGGGCGUGGUUUCCAGCAUCCCCCACUCCUCUCCUCCCGUCUUCUAUCUCUCCUUCCUGUCCUGCCUGGCUCGGC